UGACUCUCUCUGACUCAAUCUGACAACUCACAAGUCACAGAGGCAAAGCUCUCAGCAUCUCAUUCUCUCACUCAGUUUGUCACCGCCACCGCACGUCGCCGGUUUCUUUGCAUCGUCUGUCGUCUCCUGUACAUCUCCUUCACUGCGCCGUCGCCUAUGUCCGUGGUUCGCCCUCACCGCGUUGGCGCAUCUCCUUACUCUGUCAAUCUCACAGUCCCAAAAGAACCACCAGCCACCGCCACCGCACGGUUGCUGCCACGAUCAUCGGCUCCUCUGCUUUGUCCCCGUCACUGCAUCGUCGCCUCCAGAAGUCCUGUGCGUGUGUCAUGUAUUGUCGUCGACGCCGUUCUCUCUUCUCGUCGUUGGCUCGUCUGCAUCUGCCGGUUCCUGCACCUUUGGCCUCCGUUCACGUCGCAUUGUCCCUGCGGCUUCACUUCGUCCACCAUGCUAUGAAAUAUGAACCCUUGACUUCCCUUGUUUUCCAGGGCUUGAUGGACCUGUUGUGCAGCUAUCAAAAGAUCCGACGAUGAGCUUCCAAUUUUCAGCACCUGAUUGUGUAUUAUCAAGUUUAAUUGUGCUUGCUACCUAUGCUGUUGUGUAUUAUCAAGAGAAUCAUAUGUACACCAUGUGAUAUAAAAGGGUUGCAGUGAAGGCAAAGCGUCUCGACUUUUUUAUGUGUCUGGUGAAAAGAGCCUUGAGCAAAUUGGUAACAGAGCAGAACGCCUUAGGAUUAAAUCAGAUACAUAUUUAUAUUCAAGUACUGAUAUUGAGGUGAAAAUAUGGAUUUCUUUUGAUGAGUUUUGCUGCUAGCAUUCUUCUUGCUAUAUUAUUUUCUGUUUUAUACAUGGAUUUUUAUUGAAGUUAUUGUCUGGGUCCUAUUAAGCGAUUAUUUCAUGUAAUAGCCUUAACUUGCGAGAACUGUAUGGUGAAGUCUAGAUACUUGUAUGCUUUUUAUUUAAUUUAGUUUUCAGGACAUAUUGAAGAAAGAUCAGCUUCUUUCCCCUCGUGCUAUGGUUGUUGAUUCAAUACAAACUCUUGAUCCUAUCAACACUUGGUUAGAGCAAAAAGUUAAGUUGAAUGAUGUUGAACACAAGUUAAAAGAUCAAGGACGUCAACUAAAGGUUCAACAGAAGAGAAUUGGUUCUACUAAAAAGACAAUUCAUCUUUGUAUAAAAAGUUGAAUCUCUCACUUCCUUCAACCUUGUCUGAUCCUACAGAAGAUGAGCUUGGGACAGGCUCUAGUGAUGAUGUGGAUGAUAACAUAAGUGAUUGAUGUCAGGAGUUUUCUGAUUUAGAUUAAGAAAUUUUUAGGUGAAUUAGUUAGUACAUUUUAUUUUAUUCUAUUCAUGAUAUUUGACCUUUUUAAAGGUUUUCUUUGUUUUAGUUUAAGUAUUUUUUUCUUAUUUUAGUUUGAUUAUAUUUAUGGACAAAAGUAUUUUAAUAAUAAAUAUUUUUUUUAA